UGGUGGUGAUAGAAGAGAGUGAGCACACAUGGUGUUUUCUUGCAUGAUGUUUAUAUAUAUAUAUGCUUGAAACUAUGUGUGCUUACUCUCUAUCUGUCACCCCCA
rnacentral:pre_miRNA from 1 species